rnacentral:ncRNA from 2 species
AAUAGCAAAAGAGGUCGCAGGUUACAUUUAAAAGGGUAACUUGCCGAAGCGAAAGCUGGGGGUACGCAAAAUAUGCGUAUCACUGUUAAUUUAAUUAAGCCCAUUUUAAAUUAGGGAGCUUUUGUUAUU